rnacentral:rRNA from 1 species
AGUGAACGCUGGCGGUAGGCCUAACACAUGCAAGUCGAACGGCAGCACAGUAAGAGCUUGCUCUUACGGGUGGCGAGUGGCGGACGGGUGAGGAAUACAUCGGAAUCUACUUUUUCGUGGGGGAUAACGUAGGGAAACUUACGCUAAUACCGCAUACGACCUACGGGUGAAAGCAGGGGAUCUUCGGACCUUGCGCGAUUGAAUGAGCCGAUGUCGGAUUGGCUAGUUGGCGGGGUAAAGGCCCACCAAGGCGACGAUCCGUAGCUGGUCUGAGAGGAUGAUCAGCCACACUGGAACUGAGACACGGUCCAGACUCCUACGGGAGGCAGCAGUGGGGAGUAUUGGACAAUGGGCGCAAGCCUGAUCCAGCCAUACCGCGUGGGUGAAGAAGGCCUUCGGGUUGUAAAGCCCUUUUGUUGGGAAAGAAAAGCAGCAGGUUAAUACCCCGCUGUUCUGACGGUACCCAAAGAACAAGCACCGGCUAACUUCGUG